rnacentral:rRNA from 1 species
GUAUGCGGAAUGUGUGGUGUAGCGGUGAAAUGCAUAGAUAUCACGCAGAACUCCGAUUGCGAAGGCAGCGUACCGGCUUCCAACUGACGCUGAAGCACGAAAGCGUGGGUAUCGAACAGGAUUAGAUACCCUGGUAGUCCACGCAGUAAACGAUGAAUGCUAGCUGUUUGUGUCGAGUGAGACAUGAGUGGCAUAGCGAAAGCGUUAAGCAUUCCACCUGGGGAGUACGCCGGCAACGGUGAAACUCAAAGGAAUUGACGGGGGCCCGCACAAGCGGAGGAACAUGUGGUUUAAUUCGAUGAUACGCGAGGAACCUUACCCGGGCUCAAACGCACUAUGAAUGGCGAUGAAAGUUGUCAGUCAGCAAUGACAUAGUGCGAGGUGCUGCAUGGUUGUCGUCAGCUCGUGCCGUGAGGUGUCGGCUUAAGUGCCAUAACGAGCGCAACCCCUAUCGACAGUUGCUAACUAGUAAAGUAGAGGACUCUGUUGAGACUGCCGGCGCAAGCUGCGAGGAAGGCGGGGAUGACGUCAAAUCAGCACGGCCCUUACGUCCGGGGCGACACACGUGUUACAAUGGCAGGUACAGCGGGAAGCCACCUGGUGACAGGGAGCAGAACCCGAAAGCCUGUCUCAGUUCGGAUUGGAGUCUGCAACUCGACUCCAUGAAGCUGGAUUCGCUAGUAAUCGCGCAUCAGCCAUGGCGCGGGAAUACGU